CAGGUAACGUUAUACACACAUAUAUUUACUCUCGGGUAUUUAUACUGCUGUGUAUAUAUAAAAUAUGCUAGUCCUUUCAUGAUUAUGUGAUAGGUGGUGCAUGGCCGUUCUUAGUUCGUGGAGUGAUCUGUCUGCUUAAUUGCGUUUCACUAAGGAUCUAUAUUCAUAUUACGCAUAGCAUUUUGACCCCUUUAUGCUUCGGUAUAAAGCUGCGCGUCAAACCUUGCUAUCUGCGUAUAUUAGAUCCUGAAAGCAACGAACGUGACCGCAACCUCUUGUUGCCUUUAACUAGGUUUUGCUUACGUAUAGCUUCGGCUUUACGCUUUGCAUCUAAAAAGGCUGAUUUUCUA
rnacentral:rRNA from 1 species